UCACUCACAGAGCAGAUUUAGCCUCCGCCAGGGUUACCAGCCUGUUCAUGCAUUUAGCAGUGGUAUAUCUAAUCUGUGCAAGAGAACAUCCACAAUUGAAUUAGAAAAUACAGUAAUUUGGUUUUGACAGAUAUAGCAUGAGGUGAAAGACUAAGUGAAAGCGACUUAUAUGUAGGGCUGGUGUUUCUUCCAGGAUUUGACGAUAAGAUGUAACUGUCUGCUUCUAUUUGACUACUGUCUCCUACACUACAUGAUGUGACUUACAAUGUAGGAUCUUAAUAUUAGCCAAUUUGCUACAGCAAGUUAAUUGUCCUGCAGUAACAAGAAAUGUGAAUUAUUAUGUGGAAUAUAAUUAAUGGAUAUGUUUGUAGGUGUUGAUACAUUUUUCGUUGGGGCAUAUUCAAUUCUGAAAUAUUGAAAGUGGAAAUUAAAACUUUAGAACCUUUUUUAAAGCUAAAAUACACUACAAGUUUGCAGCAACAAAAGAGUGAUCAAAUUAACAUACUACAUCUGUAAGGUCCAUGUGCUAAUGGAUGAUUCCUUUUUCUUAUUAUCUUGUCAAGGCUUGUGCUUGUCAAGGCCAAACAAGGAAAUUAAUCAUUGUAGUUGAAAACGGAAAUCGGAUAUCAGCUUAUUUUUUUCGUUUAUGGUGUCCAAUUUCGGCAUCGAGUAACAGAAAACAAAUAACUACAUUUAUCCCAUUUUUCGUUUAAUUCAUACCUGGAAGUACACGCCGCCUUAUAUAAUAUUAACAGUGCAUAGCAGGUAUUUGAUUAGUCUGGGUUAAGCUGCAGUGUCGGCAGCAGAGUGCUAUAGGGACAAACAAAAUCUGAAUACAAGCUUUGGGUGGAUAGGCAAUGGCAUGGCGAGAGAGCUUGGGGUUGUUUGGGAGGGAGUUUAGCCCCUCAGUGGUUCUUCCUGCUAUUCUGCCUUGGUUUCUCCCUCAGCCAGUGAUAGAUCUAAGGUUGCUUGAGAGGCUAAGAGUUGAGGAAGGAGUAGAUUCAGUUGUAAGUGAACAUUUAAGAACACAGUACUAUGCUUUUUUAGAUCCAUCCAGAUGGAUCUAAGGACCCUAAAACAGGCAUGACAGGUGCAGCUUUUGGUGUUCCUGAGUUUAAGGUGGCAGUGACAAAAAGAGCCACGGAUCAUUUAUCUGUUUACACAAUGGAGUUGUUGGCCAUACUAUUGGCUGCAGAGUAGGUGGAGGAGGUGAGGCCAGACAGAGUAGUCAUCUGCUCUGACUCCUGUGCAGCAUUGAUGAGCUUAAAUUAAUUUGUGUCUCAGAGCAGACAGGAUGUGUUGUAUGAGGUUUUGCAGUGUUUGUAUAGGGUGAAACAGAUGGUGGUAUUUGUGAUGUUCCUCUGGGUACCAGCUCAUGUGGGAGUAGAGGGGAAUGAGGGGGUGGAUGUUAUCACCAAGCAGGCUCUUAAACAUCCCAGUGUUGAGAUGGAAUUGUCAAUCAGUAAAGCAGAAGCCAAGGGGUUAAUAAGAACAGUGGUUAAAAACAAAUGGCAAGAGUUGUGGAAUCAGGGAGAAAAAGGGAAGUCACCUGUAUAAGAUUCAGGAAAAGUUGGUGGCAGGGAGGUCCUCAGGUCGAAGGGAGGAAAGUGUAGUCACAAGGCUGAGACUGGGACACACAAGGCUAAAUAGUACAUUGAAAUUCGUAGGGAAACAUUAGACUGGGGGGUGUGAUCAUUGUCAGGAGGAGAUGGAGACAGUUGAAAACAUGUUCAGUUUCAGUGCAAGGAAUAUGUGAGGGAAAGGGUUGAUUGAUUGUUAUUAGAUUUGAGGAAUAAUGGGGUUAAAUGAACUGGGGAAAUCUUCAGGGGCUGUAGUAUUAUUUAUGUAUUUCGUUUCCUUAGGGAGAUGAGAUUAUUGGGUAUGAUUUAGACCUUCACUGUCUCUGGUCCAAACUCCAAUCAAUUUGGUGGUGGUAAUGCACCUGAAAGUUGGUUGCCAACCGCCAUAUAAAAUCCACAGAAGAAGAAGCAGGAGUAGAGCGCUCGUCAAAGGAGUCAUGGAUGACGACGGAUGGUCAUGUUGAAUACAUGAAGAGAAUUCCUGGUGCCCGGUGUCUGACCCGCUGGGUGAAUGGGGGGGAAAGAAGGAAGUCUUUCGGUCCUGUUUUUUAUUUAUUUAUAAAGAGCAAAUACCUACGCAUGUGAAGCUUGGUUACGUAAGAUACGCCGUAAGAACUUUCGUCCAAAAACCACUGCCGUUUAAGAAUUGUAAAGGAUUUUGCCAUGUUUCAAGUGUGUGCAGACUAACAGUAUAGUGAAGAACGGUGUGCAGAAGGAGAACGGUAUAUUGCAGAAGGAGAACGGUAUUGCAAUUGUGGUAGGGAUCAUGUUCCUGGAGUGCCAUGUAAGGGUGAAGGAAAUUGAGGUGGCAAGUGUUAAAGCGGUCAAAUCGAAUCGCUUAUGCGGAGGCGAUUAAAAUAAUUGAGGAAACAAGUGAUGCUAGUGAAGAUAUGGUAGUGGAAACACCACAGCCUGUAGUAAAUGUUUGCUGUCAGACAGAAUAAACGCUGUGUGUCUUUAAAAAUGUGAUUUUUGUUUUUGUUUUUUUGAGUUCAUUGCCACAGUUACAAAUUGUAGAGCACAAGUCAUAAAUAACAAAAAAAACAACUGUACAUUAUUGUGGCAGAAAAGUUUUUGGGACUCAAGGAUUUUACAUCUGAAGACUUGCAAGAGGUACUGGAGCGGGAAGACCUGCCCUCCCAGGUUCCCAUUGAGCCUGUGUAGGGAUCAGAUCUGUUUCAUUCAUUUAUUGUUAACAGAAAAGGUAUAUUUUUUUAAUUUUGGGGGGGGGAUCCUGUUUCCAUCCCGUGUAGUUGUUGUCGGUAUGCACAUUAAAUUGUGUGGUCGCCAAGAUGCCGUAGAAGACGUUUCGGGCAGGACAGAGAAAGGAUUAAGCAAUUUUGUGACAGCCAGGAAGAUACAACUUGGAAUGUUAGCUAAGGUGCUUAACUUAUCAUGAAGUUAGCAUGCCAAUAGGACGAACUCUACAACAACUGAACAUAGUUGCUUGCACCACCUGGAUAGCUAGCAUUAGCUGGCUAACGUUACUGCUGACUGGUAGCAAGCUAGCAGGCUGGCUAGCUAGCCGCUACUGGCUAUAGUCAUGUUAGCUAGUAGUAGCUAGUGGAAGUAAGUUAGUCCCUCGACCAGCUACAAGAUGAAGCUGCCCGGCCAGAGGUACCUGCUGCAGAAAGAACGUGCCUGCAAAAGGACAGUCCGCAUCUGAGCAGAUCAUCAACUUCAUCCAGUUACAUCAGCCAAUACAGUAAGUUACAAUCGAGGUCUGCCCUGACAGUCCUGAAGAACGACGGAGAGGACUACAUCUUCACCACGGCAAACCGAUCCCUCUGUCCAGACCUUCAGUUCUGCUACCGGUACAAGAAAUUCACGACCUACUUCCAUUGACUGUUCACUCGUCUAGAGUGUUGGGCAUUCAGCUAUCGGGAGGAGCUGCCAACCUGAGGGAGUGACACCAAUAAGGCAGCAUGCGGAUCCUUAAGGGUUAACUCCUCCAGAGGACGAAAGUGUUAAAUCUCCCUGCGCCUGAAGGCUUACGAUGAGGCAUGGGUGACGGACAUUGUCCUUGGCCGCUGGGAAAUGUUCCAGCACUCACAUUUUCUGGCACAGGAUAGUAGCGUCAACCCAUCUGACAUUGAGCAGGUGUGCGGAGAAGCAGUAGAGGGUGAAGGGCACCACACCAGGCCAGGCCUAUACUGCGGACAUGCAUUUGUUCAGUAGGGCACACGGGAGCUCCAUGCAGACACCAGGCUGCUGUGGUCCAGAUAUAUAUGAAUGCCUGUCCAGCAACUUCCUCCUGACAACAUUGGAGAUGAGGGAUGAGUUGCUGAAGACAACAGGAGAUGGAUACCCUUUCACUACCUGUGGUGUGGGAAAAGGAUACAUCAACACCCUGAAGAGAUGUUUGUGGUGUACUCACUCAUAACACGUUUGAGUGAUUAAUGAGUAUCAUCUUCAAGGUUGAUAAGAAGCAAUCAGUUACAAGUCAAAAAGACUGAGGCCUUCAAUCGAACUGAGGUCAGAGAAAUGUGUGCACCGGGUCAAGGCUUCUUGCAUGCAUAACUUUUAGAUGCUAAAAACAGGUGGUUAAAUGCCUGAGGAAGAUGUGACUCUGCACAUGGGAAUAUCUUUGGUACGUCUCUGACAUUCAGAAGCUGAGGUAAGACCUUCUGAAGUCGAGGAGUCAAAGAAAUUAUACUUAUACAAUGUGUGACUGUCGCUAUCAAUUGUUCGAUUGAUCUGCAUUACAAAUGGUGCCGGAGAAGGCAGACAUUUUAUACGUGUCCCUAACCGAUUUUGUUUUUUUGUUUUGUUCAUUUGCGUUGUGUUAACUUACUUUUUAAACUUAUUUUGUAUGUAAUAUUACCGCUACCAUCUCUUAUGACCGAAAAUAACUUCUGGACGUCAGGACUGCGAUUACUCACCACGGACUGGCAGAAUCCUUUUUUCCCUUUUAAUGAGUCUGAUGAGGCCGACUCGAAUGAUAUACUGCUUUCUCGGGAACAGGCCCAGAUCCCGGUGAUUUGCAUGAAGAGGAGAAAGAGAGAGGGGCCAGAGGGCAGGCGGCCUUCUGAGAAUUCAUAGGUGAUCGAAUAAACCCCCACUU